ACAAAACAUGAGAUCCUGAUUGAAUUGUAUUGGGUGACAAGGGUGUGGCCAUGUCAAGGACCAAUGACUCAGCCCAGUAAGAGGAGGAAACAUUUCCUCGGGCAAAGUUAAGAAGGAUGGAAGGAAGUCUUCCUCUUGUCUGAAGGCAAAUAUUGACAAUGUGCACAGUUAAUGUCCAUCAAAGUAUUUCCUGCAAGUUAUUUAGGGCCUAAGACUGCUUCCCAUUCAGAGACCUGCUCCUACUAAUGUUAGCUAAACCUACCUCCAUGUUCAAUAAAUAAUUCUGCCUUCCUCUUCAACUGCAUGUAAUCACUGCACCUCCCUGUUACACUGUUUAUAAUAAACAUGCUGAGCUUGUAUGGUGCUGGGGCUUCUCCAUGGGUCCCAGCUUUUCUGUGUGUCUGCACACUUGUCCUUUCUUCAUUGCCUCCAAUUCCCACAUAGGUCAAUCCUUAGAACCAUGUGGGGUAUGUCACAACUAAAGAACUAGAAGGAGGAGUAUAUAUGCACAUGGGCCAGCCUUAUAGAGAGGCUCUAAUGCAAGAGCAAUUUGUUCUAAUUUCAUAAGAUAUUUACCCAAGCUUAAAUUAAGAAUAGAAGUAAUGUGAACUUGCUUACCUGUUUAAAAUACUGGAAACUCACAUGGAAAAAAAGGCAUGAAAUCAUGAAUACAGUCUAUAAAUGAACACUAUAGUAAGCACAAUAGCACAGUUUCUAUGAAUUGAGUGGGAGAGUAAUUGAAAGCAUUCAGGGGAUAUUAUAACUUCAAUUUCAAAAGUUUGUCUGGUUUUCCUGCAGGAAUAUUCUGUCUGGCAUGUGCAAGAAGACCAAAUAGGAUAUAAUUACAGUAUGCAGUGAAGUAUAGUAAUGGGUCUGAUGAUUAAGAUAGUUACAAUAGAAGUGUCAUGUUUUGACCAUGCUCUGUAGAUAUAAUUAGUGGGAUUUUCUUAGAAGUUGCCUACUAGAAAUGGAGAGAAAAGGGAUUCCAAUCUUAGAAAUUAAACAAGAAAGAGUGACUGUAAUCAGAAAUGGAAGACACUAUAUAUUAAGCAUGAUUUUUCAUUUCAUUUAUUUCAUUAGCACAUGCAAAUUAUCACAGCAAGGAGCUUCACUGUGAGUUUUCCAUAGUUACAUAUAAUAUAUAGUGAUCAUAAAUAUUCCUUUUAUUAUUCUUUCUUUAAAAUGAAAGAAAUUUUAGUAUGUCUACUACAUAUGUAAAUAAAUAAACAAACAAAAAAAAAUGCCUAACCCCUGCCAAACAUCCUUGGCCACCUACCUGUAGUGGUGGCCUCAGGCCCUAGCUCUCCCAUAGACCUCACAUAAUUACUGUGUUUUUCUUCCUCCAAAGCAUGGCACAAAAGCUCUCCUUUGCAUCUGCCAUUUUUUCCUGGGACCCAAAGUACCACCUGUGUGAUUGGCCCCUGGCCUUCUUUACUGAAAAAUCAAGAAUCAAUUGGGGAAUAGAAAUUAUCAACAGAACCUCCCCUUAGAAAAAAGAAUGAGCAUAUCGGAGUAGAAGGUUGGGAGUUGGGUUGCUGUUGUCCUCAGUUAUAAUUGCCUGUGGAUUCCACUUGAAUGGAAAGGCCCAACAUGGUAUUGACAUGUCUGGAAUUUAAGAGAGAGAUCUGGGCAGAAGAGCUAACUCUGGAAGCCUUAUGAAUAUAGUUGCUAUUUGGAGAGUAAGACUUAAGCUCAGUGGUAGUUGUUAGCCAGGAAGCACAAGGCCCAAGUUUGGUGCCUAGUAC
rnacentral:lncRNA from 1 species